UACUGCAUCCGAGCGCUCGAGGGCGCACUC
rnacentral:sRNA from 1 species